rnacentral:rRNA from 1 species
UGCCAGCAGCCGCGGUAAUACGUAGGGAGCGAGCGUUGUCCGGAUUUACUGGGUGUAAAGGGAGCGUAGGCGGGAAGAUAAGUCAGCUGUGAAAUACAUGGGCUCAACCCAUGGACUGCAGUUGAAACUGUCUUUCUUGAGUGAAGUAGAGGUAGGCGGAAUUCCGAGUGUAGCGGUGAAAUGCGUAGAUAUUCGGAGGAACACCAGUGGCGAAGGCGGCCUACUGGGCUUUAACUGACGCUGAGGCUCGAAAGUGUGGGGAGCAAACAGGAUUAGAUA